rnacentral:lncRNA from 1 species
AAGCUAUUGAAGGAAAGAGAGGAUAAUUUUUUAGUGCAUUUUUGGGAUCCGGUGACUUUGAGGAAGCACCAACUAUACAGUACUUUAGCAUAAUGUGGUUUUACAACAUUUGAAUAUCUAAUGUUAAGACCAAUGUUUGAUGUACCGCCCAAUAUAGGGUGUACCAUAUUGUACUGGUACCAUACUGAUAUGCCUUAUCACAUCAUAUCGAUACUAUCAUACUAGUCC